AGCUGUAUAGCUCAGUUGGUUAGAAUUUGGUACUAAUAAUGCCAAGGUUGCAAGUUCGAUCCUCAUAAGGGACAGCUA
rnacentral:tRNA from 1 species